rnacentral:tRNA from 1 species
GCCGGGAUAGCUCAGUUGGUAGAGCACUGGACUGAAAAUCCAGGUGUCCCCAGUUCAAAUCUGGGUCCCGGCACCA